AUUGCUUCUCGGUCUUUUGGCUAAGAUUAAGUGUAGUGUCUGGUCUCAUCAGUUUAAUAACUGAUAGACCCUCCUUCUGAGGACAGGAUAUUAAAUGAUUUGGGAGCAGGGAGUUGGAGUAGGAGGUUGCUCCAUCCACUCCACACACCAACCUGGUAUUGCAGUGUUCCCAGGAAUGGCGAAAGAAAG
ensembl:snRNA U2 U2 spliceosomal RNA